GAUGAACGCUGGCGGCGUGCCUAAUACAUGCAAGUCGAGCGAACGGACGAGAAGCUUGCUUCUCUGAUGUUAGCGGCGGACGGGUGAGUAACACGUGGAUAACCUACCUAUAAGACUGGGAUAACUUCGGGAAACCGUAGCUAAUACCGGAUAAUAUUUUGAACCGCAUGGUUCAAAAGUGAAAGACGGUCUUGCUGUCACUUAUAGAUGGAUCCGCGCUGCAUUAGCUAGUUGGUAAGGUAACGGCUUACCAAGGCAACGAUGCAUAGCCGACCUGAGAGGGGGGUCGGCCACGCGGGAAUUGAGCACGGGGCCAAAACCCUACGGGAGGGCGGAGGGGGGAAUCUUCCGCAAGGGGCGAAAGCCUGACGGGGCAACGCCGGGGGGUUGAAGAAGUUUUUCGGAUCGUAAAACCUUUUUAUUAGGGAAAAACAAAUGUGUAAGUAACUGUGCCCAUUUGGACGGUACCUAAGCAGAAAGCCACGGCUAACUACGU
rnacentral:rRNA from 1 species